rnacentral:rRNA from 1 species
UACGUAGGGUGCAAGCGUUAAUCGGAAUUACUGGGCGUAAAGCGUGCGCAGGCGGUGAUGUAAGACAGGUGUGAAAUCCCCGGGGCUCAACCUGGGAACUGCAUCUGUGACUGCAUCGCUGGAGUGCGGGCAGAGGGGGAUGGAAUUCCGCGUGUAGCAGUGAAAUGCGUAGAUAUGCGGAGGAACACCGAUGGCGAAGGCAAUCCCCUGGGCCUGCACUGACGCUCAUGCACGAAAGCGUGGGGAGCAAACAGG